rnacentral:rRNA from 1 species
AACGAACGCUGGCGGCAGGCCUAACACAUGCAAGUCGAACGCCCUAGCAAUAGGGAGUGGCAGACGGGUGAGUAACACGUGGGAACGUGCCUUUCGGUUCGGAAUAACCCAGGGAAACUUGGACUAAUACCGGAUACGUGCGAGAGCAGAAAGAUUUAUCGCCGAAAGAUCGGCCCGCGUCCGAUUAGCUAGUUGGUGAGGUAACGGCUCACCAAGGGCAACGACGGGUAGCUGGUCUGAGAGGAUGGCCAGCCACAUUGGGACUGAGAUACGGCCCAGACUCCUACGGGAGGCAGCAGUGGGGAAUCUUGCGCAAUGGCCUAACGGCUGACGCAGCGACGCCGCGUGUGGGAUGAAGCUCUUCGGAGUGUAAACCACUGUUUGCCCGGGACGAAUAGCUCGAUUAAUCGAGCCUGACGGUACCGGGUGAGGAAGCACCGGCUAACUCCGUGCCAGCCGCCGCAGUAAC